rnacentral:rRNA from 1 species
CCUACGGGAGGCAGCAGUAGGGAAUUUUGCGCAAUGGGCGAAAGCCUGAUGCAGCAACGCCGCGUGAUCGAGACGCCCUUCGGGGUGUAAAGCUCUGUCAGUGGGGACGAAACUUGACGGUACCCACAGAGGAAGCACCGGCUAAAUACGUGCCAGCAGCCGCGGUAAUACGGGGGGUGCAAGCGUUGUCCGGAAUCAUUGGGCGUAAAGAGUUAGUAGGCGGCAAGUAAAGUCUGGUGUUAAAGGCAGAGGCUCAACUUCUGUACGGCACAGGAUACUUGCGAGCUAGAAUGCUGUAGAGGUAAAGGGAAUUCCUGGUGUAGCGGUGAAAUGCGUAGAUAUUAGGAGGAACAUCAGUGGCGUAAGCGCUUUACUGGGCCGUAAUUGACGCUGAGGAACGAAAGCCAGGGUAGCAAAUGGGAUUAGAUACCCGUGUAGUC